UAGGCAUCGGCUAUAUACACUGGAUUCCGGAUUCCGGAUCUAGGGUUCGUGUCCAACGUCGCCGCGGCGGAGAUCCAAUCCAACCCGGUUCGAGUUCAACCUCGCGGAUCUGCGGCGGCGGCGAUGGAGAACCAUGGGCACGUCCUCCGCUCCACCGAGACGGCCAAAGCCGCGAGCCAGAGGCUUGACAAGGUGAUUAUCAGCAUAAUUGGUCUUCUUUUAUUUGGGAAAUUAUUAGAGCCUUUAAGGGGAACAAUGGAGUUAUCAAAGUUCGUUUUAUUGUCAACUUCUCAACUUCAAUGUGUGUCUUCGUAACUGCUAUUGCUGUGUACUAUGUAACACAACAAGAGAGCUACCUGUACACUCCUCUUUCUGGUUUUUAUGGGGUUCUGUCAGGAUUGCUGGUGGGCAUCAAGCAACUUAUGCCAGAGAUGGAGCUUAAUCUUUUCGUGCUGAAGAUUAAGGGAAAGGUUUGUAACUGAUACUGUUAAUAGAAUGACUCUGUUUGAUGUUAUCGUCUGAUCUGACAUGUUUAUUUUUUGUCCCUACUCAGUGGAUCCCAUCUCUUACUGCACUAAUUUCCGUUGUUGUAAGCUUCUUCAUGAAGGACUUGGUAUCUUACCUCCCAGUUAUACUGUUUGGCAUUUACUAGCACACAUGCCCGUGCGUUGCAACGGGAUAUACGCAUUUCAGUGGUUUAACAUGCAUCAUCGGUAACGCUACACUCUCGAAUAAACUCCUUUUGUCCCUAUAAUAUUUGUAAAAUAGAGAAAAGAAAACAGUUUCCACAUUAGAAGAUAGCACUGCCCCUGGCAAUCCAAGCGUUCAUGGCAUUCUCGGACAGCAAGCAGGAAGCAAACUCUGGAGCAAGCAAUACAUGGAGCAAACAAGAACUUUUACUUGCAUCUUCAAAAUGGUGUACUACUCCUGGAGCAAGCAACAAGCAGCAAAGCAAUACAUGGAACAGAGAAUGGUGAUGGCAAUAGCGUGGACGAGGGAGAAGAGGCUGCCGAGCGUUGCUCUCACUCUCACGCGGCUCUCACUCACUCUGUCCCGCUGCAACAGGGAGCCGCCAUGGGCAUCGACGCCAACUGCCGCCGCCUGCAGGCUUCGCUCCGAUCCAGCCGCCCAAGACAUCUCCGCCCCAGUUCCAUCCCAUCCUCGCCGGCCACACCGCAGCUCGCCGCCUCGCCUGCCGGAGCCCCGCGUCCCAGCCGCCGUCACCCGAGCUUGGCCAUGGCGCCGCCAACAGGAGCUCCGCCCGCCUCCGGCCAUGUCCUCGGCCGGCUCCUGCAGCCCUGCGCCCGUCCCGGCCUCCUCCACGCCAAGCAGCAGCUCGUCGGAGCACGAGCUCCACCGGGUCCGCCUCCCUCUGUCGUCCCUCUUCUUCUUCUAUCUCUUUUACUCCCUCUCUGCCUCUUCUCUGAAUUUUCCCCACCUUGACCUUGCAGCUCCCGCCGCCGCCCUGCUCCGUUCAUCGCCUUCUCCGCCAGAUCCGGCGAGGCCCUGCGUUCCCAGCCUCGUCCCCGCCACCAGGUCGCCGCGCCGCACCACCGGAGACCAGCAGCGCCGUCGCACUCCGUGUCCUAUCCCUGCUCGUGUACGUGCGCAGGAGACGCGCCAGGUCGCCUCGCUUCAGGUCUCCUCCUCGCCCGUGGGCCACCAGCACCGAGCCGGCUUUCUGGUGAGACCCCAGUCCUGCCUUAGCCACUACGCCUGAAGCCGCCCCGCCGCAGCGCGCCUCCUCACGUGCCUCGCCCCAACUGAGCACGCCGGCCGCCUUAUCCUCCUCUGCCGCGACGCCUCGGCCCGCGAAGGCGCCUCGCCAAGCAGCGGGAAGAGUUGCAGGCUAGGCUCACCUGCCGCAAGCGCGCCCGCGAGCUCACCCCCGUGCCGGCCAAGGCCACCUUCGGGCCUUCGGCGACUCCACGACUCCUUGUCCGCCGCGCCCUCGAACGCCCGCCACAAGGCCGCGCCCCAUUCCUGGCCUCGGGCGGCGUGGACGCCGGCGGCAAGAGGAGGCGCGUGCCAGGCGGUGGAGGACGGCUCGCGGGCGUCAGCGGCAAGCGGCGUGCCCGGCGGUGGAGUACGGCAAUGGGUAAGCGGCGGCAGAGAACGCAAUGGACGCAGGGGGCUUUUUGCAAAAUCCAACCGUUUUCUUCAGUAACAUAUUAAAAUAGGACUGCGGGUUAAUUUUUAUAAACCGAGGGGCUUUUCUGCAAAAUCGCUAGCGACGGACGACAGAAACCUAAUUUUCUUUAUUAUUAGGUAAAGAUAUGAGUUGGAUAUACCUGCGUUACUUCCAAAAGAGGCUAGAGACAGGCCUGAAAGGGGAUCCAAGCGAGGAGUUCUCUUUCUCAAGUUUCUUCCCUACAAUUUUGUGGUAUUAACGAUUCCCCUUUAUAUAAUAGUAAGAUCUUAGUUUACGGACUAACUUCCUGACUAAUUUAUGAAAACAUAGCCAAAUUCUGGAUUCGAUAGCCUUUAUAUUUGGAUUAAUUUAUUAAACAUAUGCAGACCAGUUCUGGAUCCAGUAGUCUCAAUAUUCCAUAGGCUUCUUUGUGGAAGAUGCCAGCAAAGAGUCUGCUGAACUAUCACGCAGCUUGCAGAAUUUUACACUCUGAAAAUGACAUCAAACGCACACAUGAUUAUACUAUGCAACAGACACUUCCACUGAUUGCCUGCUUGAUUUAACCAAUGUAGAUUCUGCUGAAUUGUCAAGCUACGUUAUUUUAUAUGCCAGGACGUCUCACUCCAAAAGUGACAUCAAAUUAUUUGUUGUCACUGUUCCGGCAGUAGAAGUGGUUCUAGCCUUAGGCUUGUAGGGACGAUCUAGAAGAGUACACAGUCGGCUUCGGCAAGUGUACAUCGACAUGCUCAAGGAGCAGCUCCUCGACGUCGAUACAGUCCCGGGCCGCGCCUCAUCUCCAUCACCGGCGAGAGCAGCAUCGGCAAGACCACGCUCGCGCGCAAGGUCUACCAGAGCCCCGAGAUCCGCAACCACUUCGCCAUACUACACCGUAAGAUAUCAGUGAUGGACACUUUGCUCUAACUGAAUUUCACAUUUUCACAAUUUGUGAUGGAUACACACAGAAAUAGAGCUGAAUAUUGCUCAUGUACACUUGGCCAUGGCAUUCAGUUAACUGAAUAUUUCUACUACAGCAGGGCUCAGAAACAAUAGUGUGCCUCACAGCAUUUGGAUUUGAACAUGAAUUUCUUAGAUUGAUUUGCUUUGAUAUGAUAUAAGGAAAUAGUUGUCUGCGCGUAUACUAAGGCCUUUUUUGGUCAAUGAGUUGGACCCACAAUACCUGCUUCAUGAUCACAGCAAAGUAUAUGAGGUUGCCUCACCGUACCGACUGGCCAUGGAAUUCAGUUCAGUUUCAGUCCGAGUUACGGUGGCUGACAGCUUCUUUGCCUUGCUGCCUGCGUUUUCCGCCCGAUGGCGGAUUCACGCUCGCCCCUUGUCGCGUCCAACCAAGCCGUCGAACGUCGAUCGAGCGCCAUGGCCGUCUGCAACUGCAACUGCAAGAGACCUGCUGCCGUCCUCGACACGACGACACCGGCCACGCGACGACCACCCAAGGACCAGAAACGACCGGCUGCCACAAGAGGAGGCGCAUCCGGAUGGAUCAGCGGCACCGAGGACUACGAGGAGACGCGCGGCAUCGGCAAGGGCGGCUAGCUCCGGCAUCGUCGUCAAGGCACGCCACCGCACCACCGGCAAGACCGUGGCGAUCAAGUUCCUCGGCUGCACAGAGGACCCCGCCGACGGCACUAGGGAGCUCCGGCGUGAGGCCGGCUGACAGGACUAACAAAAUUCUUGAGAACUGUUCAGGUUCAGGUUCAGGUUCACAAAAUGGAUCUCGUGUUUCGCCAGUGUCGGUCGCUAUGAAUUCUUCAGAAAUUUUCAGGUUCAGAUAGUUGAGGUCCUGAUAAUUGCACGUUCCUGAAGACGAUCCUUGCCCACCAGGAUUAUUUUGAGGGAACCAGAAUCGGAUUGCCUUGAUUGAAGAAUUCUGAAAACACUUGUGAACUUGAUGAAGUUGGCAUCUUCUCAUGUUGCUUCUUCUGGUGACAUGUUUAACCAUUGUACCAGCCACUGCGUUACCAGUUACCAGGAGAGGUACUGCUCGAGUUUCAAGUGCCAGGACAGGAGCGACCUUGCUUUGCCAUGAGGAUCCACUAGCGGCAAACCUGGAGCAGGAACAGCUAAUGGGCUCAAGUGCUUCUUGAAUUGAGUGAUGUGAAAAAACGCCAUGUAUUUGUGCCACGUCCAGAAGCUGCAGUUUAUAUGCUCCUGCACCAAUUUUCUUCGGAACUAGAAAUGGUCCAUAGAAUUUAGUAGCCAGUUUGAGUCCUAUACAGAUGUCAAAAGCUGUCAUGGUUGCAAUUUUUAAGUAAAUCAUAUGUCUCACUUCAUAGUUCAUGUCAGGUCUCUUUUUAUCUGCAUACUUUUUCAUUCUGGCUUGAGUUUUUUUUUAAUCGAGUUUGUAAAGAUUUCUUCUCUUCAAGGAAUGAUCUAGCCUCACUGUCAACAGGCCAGGGACUGAAACUUCAUUUAUGAGAGGUGGAGGAAAUCCAUACAGGAAUUGAAAGGGGGUAAAUUUAGUAGCCGUUGAAAUCA